AAAACCUUUUAAAUGAAGUCCAGAGAGGCUUGAAAGGGUUGCGGAGAGAGAAGUGCAAAAAAGCGCAUUCUCUGAUUCACUGUACCCCAAGCCGUUAUGGCCUGGGGUUUUUUUACG
rfam:Bacillus licheniformis DSM 13, complete genome.